CUAGUUUUAAGAUGUUAUGAUUCUAUAUCAUCUACAUCUAUAUUCUCUUUGCUAAGUCAUAACUUGGUAACCAGUCAUAUACUUUGGAACAUUCAUCCUCUUAGCUGUUCCCAUCCAGGUAGCCCAACUGGGUGAACCUCAAAUUCCAUUUGUGUGUGCUCUGGAGAAAAACCUCCAUUCUCAUGGAUUCAGAAUCACUUCAAUCAAAACUUCCAUUAAGUCUUGACAGCUUUGAGUGUGGAAUAUGUUGACAAGAUCAGAGCCAUUAAUAAUGGGCUGGCCCAAGCUCCCAGAUCCAUGAUUCAAAGAUGUUUGUGUGGAUGAAUAAUACACUCUGGGCUCAUCUAAUUUUUCAAGUUUAAUGCCACAUACUAUACUGCAGUUUAUUUGUGCCCAGCAUUUUUCUUGAUGCCAAUUCAUGAGGAUUCCAGAAAUAUAUUUGAUGGAAAGUUUCCAAGGGGACUUGGUGUUAUUUGCUACAAAGGUUCAUUGGUCUUCGGUCUGGGAAGAAACAUUCAUCACCGCUAGUUCAGGGAAGAGACAAUACAAUUCCCACUCCCUUGAGUCUCUCCCUGAUCUGCCUGACUGCCUGGAUUGCCUUUUUCUGGAGGAGAGCACAUCUCAUCUAGUUUGUUGUAUCUUCUCCCUAAUGAUCUUCCCACUCUGGAGAUGCCUUCACCCCUGUGUUUCUCCUCUCAGAAUGGCCAGUUCCUUGCUGGGAGCAUCUCAGGAGUGCUGGGCACACAAACAUAUUCAUUACCGAAGAUGACCACCAAGGUGAAAUCCAUUAAUUUCAGCUCUGCCAAUAGUUUUG
rnacentral:lncRNA from 1 species